rnacentral:rRNA from 1 species
UACGAAGGGGGCUAGCGUUGUUCGGAAUUACUGGGCGUAAAGCGUGCGCAGGCGGCUUCUCAAGUCAGGGGUGAAAGCCCAGAGCUCAACUCUGGAACUGCCUUUGAGACUGAGAGGCUUGAGUACGGGAGAGGUGAGUGGAAUUCCCAGUGUAGAGGUGAAAUUCGUAGAUAUUGGGAAGAACACCGGUGGCGAAGGCGGCUCACUGGCCCGAAACUGACGCUCAUGCACGACAGCGUGGGGAUCAAACAGG